AGAUGAUAUUAAAUUAAUCUGUUUGUUCACAUAGGGAUUACCUGGUGAAAUCGGCGUCUCUGGAAAACCAGGAGAACCAGGAAAACCGGGCCUGCCAGGAAAAGAUGGAUUAGAUGGUUUCCCUGGAAAUGACGCUGAGAAGGGGCAAAGAGGAGAACCCGGACAGGACGGCUUCCCUGGUAAACCAGGACCUAAGGUAAAGGGUGACUAGUGCUUUAAGUUCUGGGUUGGAAAUCCAAUUUUUUCCCCCAUCACCAAUGCCAGUUUCUCUCUCUCUCUCAGGGAGAUGAAGGCCCUCCAGGACCACGAGGACCUCCUGGUGAACGGGGAGAGCCUGGUUUGCCUGGAGAGCUCGGCCCAGUGGGACCCAAAGGAGAGAGAGGAGGUCAAGUAAGACAGAACUAUACAGACAUAAUUUUAUGCUGUUUUCAAGUCAAAAUCAGAUGGUCUAUUGAUUAACAGAGUCAAUAUACAUUGAUAUGUGAAAAUAUCACUCUUCUGUAGAAAAAACACUCCUGCUGCGAGAACCAUCAUCUAUUCACUUGGGUGCUUCUCAUAAAAACAUGUUCAGCCAAUAUUUCACUGCAAAGAUUGUGAGAAAAAUAUAAGAAAUCAUGUUCUGCAUGAGACGGACUAAUUUUCAAUCUUAUUAAUGUCAGUUUACGCAUAGUUUGUAUGUAGUUUUGUUUGAGACAUUUUUUGUCAGAUUUCAUCCCUCCAUCUCUCUUGUAGGGAGAGAGAGGACAGGAUGGAUUUACUGGCUCGAAAGGAGAGAAAGGAGACAAGGUGAGAGACAAGAGAAAGUUUAAAAAUGCAGAUAGUAAUCAGUAAUUUUAUUACAU
rnacentral:lncRNA from 1 species